rnacentral:rRNA from 1 species
AUUGAACGCUGGCGGCAGGCCUAACACAUGCAAGUCGAACGGUAGCACAGAGGAGCUUGCUCCUUGGGUGACGAGUGGCGGACGGGUGAGUAAUGUCUGGGAAACUGCCCGAUGGAGGGGGAUAACUACUGGAAACGGUAGCUAAUACCGCAUAACGUCGCAAGACCAAAGAGGGGGACCUUCGGGCCUCUUGCCAUCGGAUGUGCCUAGAUGGGAUUAGCUAGUAGGUGGGGUAACGGCUCACCUAGGCGACGAUCCCUAGCUGGUCUGAGAGGAUGACCAGCCACACUGGAACUGAGACACGGUCCAGACUCCUACGGGAGGCAGCAGUGGGGAAUAUUGCACAAUGGGCGCAAGCCUGAUGCAGCCAUGCCGCGUGUAUGAAGAAGGCCUUCGGGUUGUAAAGUACUUUCAGCGAGGAGGAAGGCGUUGUGGUUAAUAACCGCAACGAUUGACGUUACUCGCAGAAGAAGCACCGGCUAACUCCGUGCCA